GUAGCAGAUGGAUUUCUACUACAAUAUUUUAUAAAAAAUAUCCAUUAAUUUUAAUCCUAUCCCAAGAAAAAUAUCAAUUUUUCUAAUUUAUUUUGUCAGUUUAAAUAUCUUUAAAAUUUCCUAAGCCGCUCCUGUUCGAAAUAUUUCAGAAUAUUUUCGCAACAAAGUAAAAUCAUAGGAAAGUUCCUAUUUAUUUGAGUAGCAUUUACCAACUACGUAGAUAGUUAUUGUGAAAUCAUUCAUUAUUCGAGAAUGAAUCCUCUAAAAGGUUUGGUGUUUUUCCUUUAAGUUUUGAGCGAUAAAAAUCCCAUGUUAUUAUUGGUCUGCAUUUUGAAAGAUCCUUGAGUUGUAGUUGACGAUUGGUCAAUAGUUUUGGCCGAAAGAUCGAGAAGAAAUGCAUCGUUUGGACGCGAGAGAGACGUGACGAUGUAAAGUUAGUUCUAAAAGUACAUCAGCUCUGUAAGCAUCUUUUUGUUAGAACUCAAAAAGUCGCACUUUGCCGGCCAAAAUGGUUUUCUUCUUAUAGUAAAAGAACUAAUGGAUUUCUAACAUGUCAAGGAAUAUAAUGACAAUAGUUUCACGGCAUUUUAAUGGAUAUAUUAUUGUGAAACAGUUCUAUUGUUAUGCAGUUUGAUUUGCCGGUAAAAGAAGUGCGUGGUUUCCUGGUUCCUGUCCUUUAUGUAGCUGUUGCUAUUUUUAUGAUGUUUUGAUUUGUUCAUGUUCCAGUAAGAAAUGCCCAGAUGAUAUUAUUUGGUAUCGAUUUUAUCCAGUUUUGUAAUGAUUUGAAUAUCUUCCCCUCCCAGCCCCGUCUGAAUGGAAAAUUUUGAAGUUCCAAGUGUUGUGACAUGGAUUUUUGUUUUAACAAGUUUUAGAACAGAAGAAAAUAUAAUGGCAUAGAAGCCAAAUGAUGAUAAUUUGUAGCCCACUAUAACCCCAACGAGGAAUCUACGAUGAAUGUCCCCCAGUUGCUUUCCAGUAAGUACUCGAUAUGAGAAUUUGAGGAUUUUUCAAACGGCGUCCCAAUUUGUUUAAAUAGUAGGAAAGUCCUCAAGUCUGUUAAGAAAUGCCCAGAUGAUAUUAUUUGGUAUCGAUUUUAUCCAGUUUUGUAAUGAUUUGAAUAUCUUCCCCUCCCAGCCCCGUCUGAAUGGAAAAUUUUGAAGUUCCAAGUGUUGUGACAUGGAUUUUUGUUUUAACAAGU